CCUACGGGGGGCAGCAGUCGGGAAUAUUGCGCAAUGGAGGAAACUCUGACGCAGUGACGCCGCGUAUGGGAAGAAGGUUUUCGGAUUGUAAACCAUUGUCGUUAGGGAAGAAGAAGUGACAGUACCUAAGGAGGAAGCUCCGGCUAACUAUGUGCCAGCAGCCGCGGUAAUACGUAGGGGGCAAGCGUUAUCCGGAUUUACUGGGUGUAAAGGGAGCGUAGACGGCAUAGCAAGUCUGAAGUGAAAGCCCGUGGCUCAACCGCGGAACUGCUUUGGAAACUGUUAAGCUGGAGUACUGGAGAGGG
rnacentral:rRNA from 1 species